ACCAAGACCAAGACCAAGACCAGAACCAACACUAUCACCAGCACCAACAGCAGUUCCACCACCAGCAACAGAAGACCCAUCACCAGCUCCAGGUCAUUCCAAAAGGACUUGUGGAGCGCUGCUCCUUCCAAAGCCCCCAGAGGUUCAUAAAUGAUCUCCUACAUGGGAUGUAUACCAGGGAAUAUAUGGCAGGCCAUUCAGUGACUGGCCAGUCAUCCAGCAGCUGCACAGAAGGAAAACCUGGCCUAGCCAAACAGGACCUUGUUGAAAUAACAAAUGCUGCAAAGUUGAAGUUCACCUACGUAACUGAUACGAACAUAAAAGCAUUUAUACGACAAAAGCUAAACAAUGCUGCCAAAUUUCAGAA